AUACGGAGGGUGCAAGCGUUACUGGGAAUCACUGGGCGUAAAGCGCGCGCAGGCGGCCUGAUAAGUUGGAUGUGAAAGCCUACGGCUCAACCGUAGAACUGCAUCCAAAACUGUCAGGCUAGAGUGUGGGAGAGGAAGAUGGAAUUAGUUGUGUAGGGGUAAAAUCCGUAGAGAUAACUAGGAAUACCAAAAGCGAAGGCAAUCUUCUGGAACACUACUGACGCUGAGGCGCGAAGGCGUGGGGAGCAAACAGGAUUAGAAACCCUAGUAGUCC
rnacentral:rRNA from 1 species